GUUGAAACAUUGGUUCCUGUACAAUUGCUGAAGUUAAGCAAUGUCAAGCCUGGUCAGUACCUUGAUGGGUAACCACUUGGGAAUACCAGGUGCUGUAA